AUUGAACGCUGGCGGCAUGCCUUACACAUGCAAGUCGAACGGCAGCAUGGAGAGCUUGCUCUCUGAUGGCGAGUGGCGAACGGGUGAGUAAAGCAUCGGAACGCACCGUGUAGUGGGGGAUAACGUAGCGAAAGUUACGCUAAUACCGCAUACGCACUGAGGUGGUAAGCAGGGGAUCGCAAGACCUUGCGCUAUACGAGCGGCCGAUGUCAGAUUAGCUAGUUGGUAGGGUAAAGGCCUACCAAGGCGACGAUCCGUAGCGGGUCUGAGAGGAUGAUCCGCCACACUGGGACUGAGACACGGCCCAGACUCCUACGGGAGGCAGCAGUGGGGAAUUUUGGACAAUGGGGGCAACCCUGGUCCAGCCAUGCCGCGUGAGUGAAGAAGGCCUUCGGGUUGUAAAGCUCUUUCGGCCGGGAAGAAAUCGCACAGGCUAAUACUCUGUGUGGAUGACGGUACCGGCAUAAGAAGCACCGGCUAACUACGUGCCAGCCGCCGCCGUAA
rnacentral:rRNA from 1 species